GUGUCAGCAGCCGCGGUAAAACGUAGGAGGCGAGCGUUAUCCGGAUUUACUGGGUGUAAAGCGCGUGCAGGCGGAUCGGAAAGUUGGAUGUGAAAGCUCCCGGCUUAACUGGGAGAGGUCGUUCAAAACUACCGGUCUUGAGUACAGUAGAGGGAAGUGGAAUUCCAGGUGUAGUGGAGAAAUGCGUACAUAUCCAGAGGAACACCAGUGGCGAAAGCGGUUUUCUGGACUGUAACUGACGCGCAGACGCGAAAG
rnacentral:rRNA from 1 species